rnacentral:rRNA from 1 species
AUGUCCCAAGGGUUCUGCGACAAGUACGAAAAAUUAAUCCAUGAAUUUUGGUGGCGGGAGGAAAACGGACACCGGAAAGUUCAUUGGAUGUCGUGGGAGCGAAUGAUCAAACCUAAGAGAGGAGGGGGCAUUGGGUUCAGAGACAUGAAACUCUUCAACCAAGCCUUGCUAGCAAGACAAGCUUGGAGGCUAAUUCAGAGACUGGAUAGUCUUUGUGCACGUGUUCUCAAGUCCAAGUACUACCCACAUGGAGAGCUGAUUGACACGGUUUUUGCUUCUGAAGCGUCUCCGGUCUGGCGUGGGAUCGAGCAUGGACUCGAACUGCUCAAGGCUGGCCUUAUAUGGAGGAUCGGAGAUGGGAAAAGGAUAAACAUCCAAAGAGACAAUUGGAUUCCA